UGCGCCACGACGUGGACUUCGGGCCCCGCCGAGCUCAGGGGUCCCCGCGAGGGGAGCCCGACCCCAGAUGCACUCCCGCGAGGGACGAGGGAACAGCAGCAGCCCGGGAUGCCCAGCUUUCUCACCCCACCGACUGCCUUUGGGCGUUGGAUUUGCUGUGGUCAGAAGCCCUGGGGACAGCUCCUGCCGGCUCGCACCAGGCUUCCUCUGCUGCGUUCUUUCCUCUUCUGCCUGGGAAUGGGACGGCGGAGCCCUAUGAAAAUGUGUGCAAGA